rnacentral:rRNA from 1 species
UUUUUGUGGGGUGAUGGCGUGCCUUUUGAAGAAUGAGCCUGCGAGUCAGCGGCAUGUCGCGAGGUUAACCCGUUUGGUGGGGUAGUCGUAGCGAAAGCGAAUACUAACUAGUGUGUUUUUAGUGGCAUGUCCUGGACCCGAAGCGGGGUGAUCUACCCAUGGCCAGUGUGAAGCAGAGGUAAGACUCUGUGGAGGCGCGAACCCACUUAGGUUGAAAACUGAGGGGAUGAGUUGUGGGUAGGGGUGAAAGGCCAAUCAAACUCCGUGAUAGCUGGUUCUCCCCGAAAUGCAUUUAGGUGCAGCGUCGUGUGUUUCCUCCUGGAGGUAGAGCUACUGGUUGGUUUAGCGGGACUAUCAUCUUAGCGACAUCAGCCAAACUCCGAAUGCCGGUGAGGUCAGAGCACGGCAGUGAGACUGCGGGGGAUAAGCUUCGUAGUCGAGAGGGAAACAGCCCAGAUCGCCGGCUAAGGCCCCUAAGGGUGUGCUAAGUGGAAAAGGAUGUGGGAUCGCGAAGACAACCAGGAGGUUGGCUUAGAAGCAGCCAUCCUUGAAAGAGUGCGUAAUAGCUCACUGGUCGAGUGGUUCUGCGCCGACAAUGUAGUGGGGCUCAAGUACACCGCCGAAGCCGCGGCAAUCACCUUUU